AUUGAACGCUGGCGGCAGGCCUAACACAUGCAAGUCGAGCGAGCGGCGGACGGGUGAGUAAUGUAUGGGGACUGCCCGAUAGAGGGGGAUAACUACUGGAAACGGUAGCUAAUACCGCAUACUAUCGGAUAACCCAUAUGGGAUUAGCUAGUAGGUGGGGUAAUGGCUCACCUAGGCGACGAUCCCUAGCUGGUCUGAGAGGAUGAUCAGCCAAACGGGGACUGGGACACGGCCCAGACUCCUACGGAGGCAGAAGUGGGGAAUAUUGGACAAUGGGGGAAAGCCUGAUGCGGCCAUGCCGCGUGGAUGAAGAAGGCCCGAGGGUUGUAAAGUACUUUCAGUCGGGAGGCGUUACCGACAGAAGAAGCACCGGCUAACUCCGUGCCAGCCGCCGCGGUAAUUC
rnacentral:rRNA from 1 species